UACGAAGGGGGCUAGCGUUACUCGGAUUGACUGGGCGUAAAGGGCGCGUAGGCGGUUUGUACAGUCAGACGUGAAAUUCCUGGGCUCAACCUGGGGGCUGCGUUUGAUACGUGCGGACUUGAGUUCGGAAGAGGGUCGUGGAAUUCCCAGUGUAGAGGUGAAAUUCGUAGAUAUUGGGAAGAACACCGGUGGCGAAGGCGGCGACCUGGUCCGAUACUGACACUGAGGCGCGAAAGCGUGGGGAGCAAACAGG
rnacentral:rRNA from 1 species